CUUUCCUACGGGGGGCAGCAGUAGGGAAUAUUGCUCAAUGGGGGAAACCCUGAAGCAGCAACGCCGCGUGGAGUCUGCCGGUUUUCGGCUUGUCCCCUCCUUUUUUUCGCGCCGCUCCUGCCGGUCUCUCCCGCAUCCGCACCGGCUAACUCCGUGCCCGCCGCCGCGGUCCUCCGGCGGGUGCCCGCGUUCCUCGGCCUCCCUGGGCGUCCCGCGCGCGUCGGCGGGCUCGCCCGUCCGCUGUGCCCUCCUCUGGCUUCCCCCUCGCCCUGCCUU
rnacentral:rRNA from 1 species